GCCCCUGUGGCGCAGUGGUCAGCGCGCUCCGAUGGCUGCCAUGUGAUGUACCGGCUCUGCGAUAGCUAUUGAGUGCACGUAGUUUUCGCAUACUUAGCGGGGUAAGCGGAGAGAACGGGUAUAUUACGGGGGAUAGGAGAGGUCCUCGGCUUGAAUCCGAGCAGAAGCA